rnacentral:rRNA from 1 species
UACGUAGGUGGCGAGCGUUGUCCGGAAUUACUGGGUGUAAAGGGAGCGUAGGCGGGAGUGCAAGUUGAAUGUAUAAACUAUCGGCUCAACUGAUAGAAGCGUUCAAAACUGCACUUCUUGAGUGAAGUAGAGGCAGGCGGAAUUCCUAGUGUAGCGGUGAAAUGCGUAGAUAUUAGGAGGAACACCAGUGGCGAAGGCGGCCUGCUGGGCUUUAACUGACGCUGAGGCUCGAAAGCGUGGGUAGCAAACAG